CAGCAGCCACGGUAAUACGGAGGGUGCAAGCGUUAAUCGGAAUUACUGGGCGUAAAGCGUGCGUAGGCGGUUCGUUAAGUCUGUUGUGAAAGCCCCGGGCUCAACCUGGGAAUGGCAAUGGAUACUGGCGAGCUAGAGUGUGUCAGAGGAUGGUGGAAUUCCCGGUGUAGCGGUGAAAUGCGUAGAGAUCGGGAGGAACAUCAGUGGCGAAGGCGGCCAUCUGGGACAACACUGACGCUGAGGCACGAAAGCGUGGGGAGCAAACAGGAUUAGAUACCCCGGUAGUCCCUGUCUCUUAUAU
rnacentral:rRNA from 1 species